UGUGUGUGUGUGUGUGCAUCAGUUCUUUUUUUUCUAAUACCCACUCUAGCCCUGUGGCCUCAGCAAAAUGUUCAUUACCUUGGCACAAGCUGCUCUGCUGGGUUGAUCCAGUGCAACAGUGAUGUGCUGGGCAUCCCAGUGUCCCUGUCUGUUUUGCAGAGCAGUGGUUGAGUCUGAACAUCAGGUGCACCUGUUGGCUUCUUGUGGUUGGAAUGCUGCUCUUGUAGCAGAGCUCUCAGUUCUGGGGGAGGCUGCUGGCUCUGCAGGCAGGUUGGUGCGUACAGACCACACAACUUUGCUGGCUGUCCACUCUAAUCAGUAAGCAGCCCUGAAACCCGCUGCACCUAAGAAACAAUCUUACCUACUCUUCACCUAAACAGACCGCUGAAUACGUCAAAAAGAUGAAACAGAUGUAGGGGCUCAGUGUUACCUGCCUGUGGGCAGUAGAGUGCUUUUGUUUAUGAAAGCAGGUCAUGGCAGCAUUACAUACUGAGAAUUCUCCCUGUUGCCUGAAGCUUACAUUGCAUGGUGUCUGAGUGGUGGUGAAAGUCAGAGACAUUCCUGCUUGCCAUCACUCGACGCAGCUCUCCCCAUCUCAACAGUGCUCCGUCCAUGAGAAGCAAAAUCCCUGCUUUAAUGAAACACCAGUUACAAUGUGCAUCAUAGAGACAGUGUUGCUAAUGCUUUUAUGGUGUUGAGGAGAUGAGUUGAUCUGUAUUUAGCUUUCUCUUUUUUUUUUCUUUGCAAGUCUGGAGAGUUCUGUGGUCAUCUCUAUGUUAAGACUUUUGUUAUCUUGCACAAGCAAGAUGUAAAUGCCUGGUCAGUGAUGGGUGUCCAUGUCUCAUUCUUCUUGCUUUCAUCCUUCAGCUUGUAGAUGCAAUUCAGAGCACUUGUGGAACGGAGGGGUUUUUAAACUGUUGGUGAGGAAGCAUGUUCAUAGAUAAGGUGAUGUUCAAAAUGACAAUAAAAAAAAACACACAAAAAAUAAAAACAACUGAGCCAAACCAACCACUGCCACCAAAAACAAACAACAACAAAACAACAGUACCAAAACACACAAAAUAGGCAAGAGAGAUGGAAGCUGUAAGAGAGAUAAAAGGAAUCUGACGAUACCAGGCAGUCUGAUGAAACUUUGG
ensembl:lncRNA